GUGGGGAAUAUUGGACAAUGGGCGCAAGCCUGAUCCAGCCAUGCCGCGUGAGUGAUGAAGGCCCUAGGGUUGUAAAGCUCUUUCAACGGUGAAGAUAAUGACGGUAACCGUAGAAGAAGCCCCGGCUAACUUCGUGCCAGCAGCCGCGGUAAUACGAAGGGGGCUAGCGUUGUUCGGAUUUACUGGGCGUAAAGCGCACGUAGGCGGAUUGUUAAGUUAGGGGUGAAAUCCCAGGGCUCAACCCUGGAACUGCCUUUAAUACUGGCAAUCUCGAGUCCGGAAGAGGUGAGUGGAAUUCCGAGUGUAGAGGUGAAAUUCGUAGAUAUUCGGAGGAACACCAGUGGCGAAGGCGGCUCACUGGUCCGGUACUGACGCUGAGGUGCGAAAGCGUGGGGAGCAAACAGGAUUAGAUACCCUAGUAGUCC
rnacentral:rRNA from 1 species